rnacentral:lncRNA from 1 species
ACCUGCUUGAGUUCCAGUCCUGACUUCCUUUGGUGAUGAACAGCAGUAUGAAAGUAUAAGCCAAAUAAACCCUUUCCUCCCCAACUUGCUUCUUGAUCAUGAUGUUUGUGCAGGAAUAGAAACCCUGACUAAGACACUGGGCAUCAGGAUCUCAUGCAAAGUGGGUUGAUAAGUUGUCAGAACCGUAUGAAAAUUUCCAGAAGAUACUCUCUUCUUCUGGCCAACACCACCUUUCCUUAUUCCAGUAUGAGGUUCCUGGAAAACACCAAUGUCUUGGGAGCAUUUGUCGCAAUCGUCUUAUAGCCAAAAGGAAAGACACAAGAGUCUCUUUAGAAAACUUGUAUCUCUACUAGGAUCAUUGCAAAAUUGCUUUCUGAAAUGUGGUUCAUGCCCAUACAUGGCUAGUGGUAUCAGAAUGUCUAGCAAGGAAGGAAACGCUCAUCUCUGCAGAGGGUAGUCGUUACUGCAGACACUCGCUCAAUCACAGCGGUUAUGGCUGGUGACUGUUACUGUGGUCCAACACUCAGUCAUAAAUGAAAAAAGUAAUCAGAAACCUAUAUCACCACCUCCAAGACCCAAGACACAUUGCAGGAGAGGAAUGAGCAAGAGUCACUCGGGGCAUGAAGAUCCUUCUGCCAGCCGCCUACACCAGAACAAACCACAAGAUAGAGAUUGUUGGAGGAUAUAGUUUUUUUUUUCAAGCUCAGUUGGGCAAUUGAGAUAGAAAUUAUCUACCUUGCAAAAAGGUGUUUGUUGAGAGCUUUUGGUGUCACUUCUCCGUAUUUGGCAUUUGUCACUGGGCUCAGACAAGGAAGGAGGCUCGGGACACGGACCAUGUUCUCAAAUAUAAUGUGUCAGAAAAUGCUGCUAGCGUUCACAUCGUUCUUAGUAAUUACCUGGAUGAUAUUUGUCAUUUCUCAAAAUUCUGCAAAGGUAGGAACACGUUUCCCCACGUUUACCAGAAGCUGGACCUGUGUGAGCUGUCUUCUCAGAGCCCAGUCUCCCAAUCUAACCUCGUUUCCUUCUCCCUUAUCGACCUCUGGUGGGGGCAGGGCACCCUGUCUCUACUUUCCUGCUUCCCAUUCAUCCUCAGGGCCUUGUAGUCAAACUUCUACCUCUCACAGGCACCCCAAAUGCCCCUUGUUAAGGCCACCAACUGCCAUGUCACUAAAUAAGCAUUUAUCACUAAUCUGGAUACACAUAUCCUUAGCUGUCUAGAUCCGGCCUGCUAUUGUCCUUUGCCGUGUAACUGUUCUUCUUAAUAACCAGUGUGCCUUACAGUUCCUGGAUCUUAAGCAACAAUAAGAAAAGGCUUACCACUCAAAGUAUAUAUAGGAAUUCAGCCAAUUCCUGUGGUUUUCCUUGUGGCACUUCUGUAUUUAAAUAUCAGGUGUGUGUAAUCCCAUCACUCAGGAGA